CAGACCCUCAGACCAACCUCAUUCACCCAUCCCCCUCCAUCAGUCAUCUCUCUCAAAGACCAAGCAGCCCUAAGCCCUAAUAGCCGCCAUCCUUCCCCUUCGCCGCAAACCCGGCGGCAAAGCCGCCGAUGACCACAAAAUUAUCACCACGGGACCACCAAACCAUCCCCUCCACGAAUCCUUACCCCUUAUCCCUCGAAUCAGCACCGACUUCGUCAAUUCUUCAAUCGAAGAUUGGUCAAGAAACUUCAUCUUCUCCGAUGGCCACCAAACUCACACCAGGCCUCCCUUUGACCUCCAUCAUACCACACAACACCUUGAUUCCGUUCUAAUUUGACCAGAACCAUUUGAACCCCAAAUCGAACCCACAUGAACCCUAAUUCAAAUAGCCUUCGGGGUCUGUUCAAUUAAGAGGGGAAUUGGGGUCUAAUAGACCUUAAUCGAUGUGUUCUCAACUGAGAACACCCCAAUUAAGAGUUCGUUCGACCUCAACAAGGAUUGAAGUUUGGAUUCGAGGCUGGAUCAUCUAGAUUCUCAGCUCUGAGGUGAUUUUCUUCUUCUUUCGUUCCUUCUAUUUUGUUUAGUUUAGUUGUUCAUAUAGUUGUAUUAUCUUUCUGUUUGAAUUUUUUCAAAGAUCUUCUCUUCUUCAAUGACCUUUUAUCCGGUUAAUUUCUUCUUCUGAUCAUUGUCUAGAAUAGGUUAUAAGCUAUAUAGUCGAUUGGAAAUUUCGUCGAGUAGUUAGUUUAUAAGUUCCUUGUCUUUGUCAAUACGAUUCGAAUCAUCCGUUGUUAUGGUUCGUUUAGUUUGUUUGUCACCAUUUGCGUAUAAUAAUCGAUUAAAUAAAGUCGUCGACUAAUUUGCUUGAAAAGCAGAAGAAGCAUGAUAGUAGUCUGUUGUUUGUUCAUUACAAUAUGUUAUCUAUUUGUGCCUUUCUUGUUUUGAUUUUUGUACCAAAUAAUCCUGUUUGGUGAAUCCCCUUUCGACCAGACCUCUCGUUUGGUAACUAGGAAUCAGCCGGUAUUAGUAAAUUUUGUAUAAAUUCAUUCAGUCCCGUAAUUGUCCAGACAUUUUUAUUGGUUCAAAGGUAUGUACUAUAAUUAUAUGUAAUUUGUGCUUAUGUCUAUUGUAAUUCAGUAUGCAUACGGUGUUCAAUUUGUUUUGUUUAGGUUUAAUUUAGAAAACUAUAAUUUGUUUCAAAUAUUGAUAAUAUGCAUCUGUAUCAGUCAGUUUUGAUUCCAGUAGUUAAUUGCAGCCUUUGUUCCAAUUAGAUCUGUUGGUUAAGAAGAAUUUAAUUUCAUAGUUUAAUAAUCAAAUUGAUAGGUCCUGGGUUCGAGUCACGGGAUGUGUGGAAGCACUAUAAAUCCUCCUAAUUUGGGAGGGUUUAAGAAAAAAUAAAAUAAAAAAAUUGAUAGGUGUUAAGUGGGCUAUUGCUGUUAAGUGGAGAAUACUUUUAGAAAUUUUGAAGGUUGGUUCUGUUUGUUGAUGUUCUGUAUUAGAACAAUAACAGUCAGUAAGAUUCAGGGGUAAUUUAGGGAAGUUCAAAUUGGAAAAUAAGUUUGAGUAAGGGGUCUGUCCAGUGGGGUUCUCUACUUUUAUUUGAAUUAAUUAGUAGGGGGGGGGGGCAUUGAAAAUGAUAAUUGUUUGACUACUUUUACUUAAUUGGAAUUAGGAAUAGUAGUUUAAUGAUAAGUGUAAAAAGAAGACAUAGAAGAGCAUAUUUGGGGGCUGGAUAUGAAAGUAAGGGGUAAUGGGAAGGGUAAUGAUAAAAGGUUUGUAAUAAUAAUUAAAGGAGAGGGGGAAAGAGGGUCUUGGUUUCAUAUAAAUAAGUCAUUUGGCUAAUUUGAACUGAUCAGAUUUAGAGAACGAAAACCUGAAAAAAGAGAGUUGAGUUAAAAACUAUUAGCUUUCUAAUCCAAGGAAUUCAGUUAGUUUAGAGUGGAACUAGGCUAACUUUCAAUCUGAAAGAGUGAGUAUUUUUAGAAUUCAGAAACUAAAGUUAGGUCCUUUUGUCAUCUAAAAAUCAGUAUUAGUUUGUGAUUUGAAGCUACAAGCUUAAAGAACGAAAUCACCAUUCCAUUAGGCAUUUGUAUUUCAUCCUCAAGUCUAGUUGCUAGUUUGUUCCUGUUAGCUCAGGAUUUGAUUGCUGGGGUCUUUGUUUGAAGCAUCCGGAGUGUGUACUGUUUUUUUGUGUGGAAGUUCUGGUUCAAUUUCAGGCUUGACUGAGAUUAAUUGAGCUGCCUGCGUUUGAAUAAUUUGGUUUUGCCAUCUCGAGUUUGGUUGUUCCCGGAUUUUACUGGUUUUCAAUCUGUUCUAAAUUGAGCGCGGGACUGCUGGUUGUUUUCUGCCUAUUAUUGCUGUCGCUGUGUUGUUGUUACUGCACCUGCAGAUCCUUUUCUUCUUCUUCCAUUUGUCUAUUUCCAGGUACAUAUUCUAAAGCCUUCAAGCUAUGGAAAUAAAGUGAAAAUGUUACCUGAAGUAGAACUUUGAAAUUUUUCUGUUAUCUUUUAUUUAAUUUCGAGGUGUAAAACAAUAGUCUAUUCGAUAUUACAUGUUGUAUACCGGACUGAUUCUAAAGUGUAAAUUGGACUAAUGAACCUUGAAUAUAAGGUUAUUUACUUAGCUUGUCAAGCUCUUAGGAAAGUAGAAAUACGAAUAUGUGAGUUUUUGCUGUUGAAUAGUAGUGGUAAUGACCCAUAUUAAGUUAGUCAAUAGUUUUUGUUAGUUGAAUGAUUUACGAGUCUCUUGAAUCUAUCCAAAUGUCUGAAACUAGAAUCAUAGAUUAACCAUGUUCGGGUACCUUGAAAAUUUUCUGUUAUCUUUUAUUUAAUUUCGAGGUGUAAAACAAUAGUCUAUUCGAUAUUACAUGUAUACCGGACUGAUUCUAAAAUGUAAAUUGGACUAAUGAACCUCGAAUAUAAGGUUAUUCACUUAGCUUGUCAAGCUCUUAGGAAAGUAGCAAUAUGAAUAUGUGAGUUUUUUGCUGUUGAAUAGUAGGGGUAAUGACCCAUAUUAAGUUUGUCAAUAGUUUUUGUUAGUCGAAUAAUUUACGAGUCUCUUGAAUCUAUCCAAAUGUCUGAAUCUAGAAUCAUAGAUUAACCAUGUUCAGGUACCUUAUUUUC
rnacentral:lncRNA from 1 species